GAUGAACGCUGGCGGCGUGCCUAAUACAUGCAAGUCGAGCGAACAGACGAGGAGCUUGCUCCUUUGACGUUAGCGGCGGACGGGUGAGUAACACGUGGGUAACCUAACUAUAAGACUGGGAUAACUUCGGGAAACCGGAGCUAAUACCGGAUAAUAUUUCGAACCGCAUGGUUCGAUAGUGAAAGAUGGCUCUGCUAUCACUUAUAGAUGGACCUGCGCCGUAUUAGCUAGUUGGUAAGGUAACGGCUUACCAAGGCAACGAUACGUAGCCGACCUGAGAGGGUGAUCGGCCACACUGGAACUGAGACACGGUCCAGACUCCUACGGGAGGCAGCAGUAGGGAAUCUUCCGCAAUGGGCGAAAGCCUGACGGAGCAACGCCGCGUGAGUGAUGAAGGUCUUCGGAUCGUAAAACUCUGUUAUUAGGGAAGAACAAACGUGUAAGUAACUGUGCACGUCUUGACGGUACCUAAUCAGAAAGCCACGGCUAACUACGUG
rnacentral:rRNA from 1 species